GGAACAAACAGUGAGUCAGAAGUGUCAUAUAAAACCCAAUAGCAACGAGUUGAUUCUGCACCGAGGUUUGCAGAAUGGGAAUGCGACUUCCCUGGCUCCAUGACUUGAUUCUGCACUGACGUUCACAGAAUGGGAAUGCAACUUCCCUGGCUCCAUGGCAUGUUGACGAGAGUCAGAGCUGAAGACCAGGGAGCCUGGGGGUGGUAUCUAUUGGAAUUUUUCAGCCUCACUGAUCAAAGUAGCUUGGAUGAGAUGGAAAAGGGCCAGAGUUCAGGCGGGGGGAAAUAUAGCUGGGUCAGAAGGAGUUUCAUUGACAACUUAAGGAAUAGCAACUCCUCUGGUAUUCAAUAUGUAGGUGAAGCUAAAGAGGAUAUUGGGAAUGUGUGCAGGAAGCCUCAUGCAAGAAUUUUCACAGUGGCACUGCUUGUAAUAACAAAAACAUUGGAAUUAACUCAAAUGUCCAUCAAGCAGAGACUGGAUAAAUGUACGGGGGUGAACUUGCUUAAUGGAAUAAUAGACAGUAAUGAGAGUGGAAUAAACAAGAGCUACAUGUAUUAACAUGGAUGGCUUUUCAACUGCACAAUGCUGAGCAAAAGAGCAAACAGAAGAAAGAAAAUGUGUGUAUAAAGAAAAACCAUGCAUGUCAAGUUUAAGAAAACGUGAAACCAUACUAUAUAUUGUGUAUCCAAUUGUGACUGGAUAUAGACAUACUGAGUACAAAUGUUUUAAAAUGCAUGGGAAUAAUAAAAACCAAAUUCACUUUAGUGGUUAUAUUUGGGCAGAUGGAGAGGAGACGUGACCAGGGAGGGGGUACACAAGAGAUGCCAAUUGUAUUAAUGUUUUAUCCUUUAACGUGGGCUGUAGGUACAUAGAUGUUUUGUUAUAUUACUCUGUAGUUUUUUUGUAAGUCUGAAAUAUUUCACAAGAACUUAUCAUCCCCCUCCUAUCCACACAGAAUUUUUAAAGAAUCUAGAAGAUAGCGUUUCUGAGGAAGGAAAAUGGGUAUGUUGGAGUGUUACAAAGAGAAAUAAAGUGAUGUAGUGUCUUGCAAGAGUAGGUGCUUAAUAUAUGUAUUUGCUGAAAUUAACAAAGUUUGGGAAGGAAAGUAAACAGACCCAGAGAGUAAUAGAAAAGGCGAAUGAAAUGAAAGGGCUCUGGGGAGAAGAAAGUUUGGAUCCAGUGAUGUGUGGAAGAUAGCAGCACACACAAUGAAGCAAAACGGGAGGAUCGGUGAGUUGGAUGGAUGCUGAAAACCAGCCAAACUCCCCACUUCCUCAGCCUCAGAGCUUGGAAGGAGCUUCUGCUGUGUUGGGAAUUCCUGUUGCCAGAACGUCAUCUUCUAGGUGCAGCUCAUCAGGAUGUUGUAAAUGGUUUCUUAACAAAAUUAUUCUUGCUAAGAGAAAGGGAGAAAGAAAAUGCUUUUGAGUUUAUCCAUGCAAGAAGGUCAUCAAAAAAUGGCGAUCAGCCUGAACUUUUUUGCUGAACUAAGAGAGUUCCUUUAGUCGUUUUUCAUGAAGUUCACAGUGUGAUUUUUAUUCUAUUUUGUAGAUCAUGUUUUCCUGUGAUCUACAAGGUGACAUACAGCUUUGAUAAGGAUGUGAUCAGCAUUCUGGUUUAAUAAUUGGCAUACAAUGGGUUUUUUGGAAUUGCAUCAUAUGUCUUCAGUAUUAUUAUUUCUUUGCUUGGGUGAUUUAUUCUCCUGGAUUCUGAGAACACAAAUUGGGCUUUUAGAGUUAGCAAGCUGAAAAAUGUUCGUUUUUAAACCUGUUACUCCAUAAAGUCGGCUGUGCCCUGAGCUCCUUUGAUGUUGCUCAGUAGACACUGAGAACGUUUCAGACAAAUUCAUUUUUAACUGCUCACGGAGGGCUUUGGAUUAUCAUCUAGUCAUUGUUCUAACCAUUGGGACAGACCUUUGCUGAACAAUGUUGGAUUAAUCAGGCAGAACAGAGCUCGAAUCUCCUCAUUCCUUUUGUCUGUAUGAACUGAGCCCUGGACUCACAGCACGUAGAAUUCUGGGGCUUAGGGAGCUUCUGCCUGUGCUUUAUUUUGUUGUUUUAUUCAAUUAAAAAUUAAUUUUAGUUUGUUCUCUUUCUCCUCCAUGGCUCAAACUAUUAAAGAUAGUUCUGAGGAAGGAAAUGCAAAAUAGCAAGAAAUUGUUCUGCUUGCCAAUGGCCCAGGGCCUCUUGCUUUCUAGGUUAAAAGGACUGUUUGGGGGAAAUGAAGUUCUGUCUCUCUAACGACACUGUUUAGUUUUGCAUCCUAUUUUAGUUGGAGGGUGAAAUGAACCAGAUCUGUUUCUAGCCAGUCUGACUCUUUGAUUCCAGAUUGGGGCAUCUUCAACAGGGUUUUAUAUCCUGUUGGAAUGCAAGGCUAUUUUAAGAAAUCCCUAUUGGAUUGAGAAAAAGCACAUAGUAUAAUUAUGGUGACCAAACCAUGUGUCCCAGAUUUUCCAGGAUGUUCCCCAAAUUCAUGUAGUUUCAAUCUUUUCAAUAA
rnacentral:lncRNA from 1 species